rnacentral:rRNA from 1 species
UAUUAUACUAAAAAAUAGAAUAUAAACCCAGAUUAUUAAUAGAUAUAUUCUUUAAAUUUAAAGAAUUUGGCGGUAAUUUAGUCUUGUCAGAGGAACCUGUUUCUGAAUCGAUAAACCACGAAUAAUCUUACUCAUUCUUGUUAAAAUAAUCCAGCUUAUAUACCGUCAUUAGAAGAUAAUUUUAAAAGAAUAAAUUGUUGGGCUUUACAAAAAUUAAUUAAGUAAAAUUAGAUCAAGGUGUAGCUGAUGAAUGAGUUGAAAUGGGUUACAAUAAAAUUUAUUUAGAAUGGAUUAACUAAAGAAUAUAUUAGUUAUAAAGGAGGAUUUGAUUGUAAGUUAGGUUUAAUAUGCCUAGGAGAUAUAAGCCCUAAAUUAU